GGGGCUGUAGCUCAGCACGGUUAGAGCGCCUGCCUGUCACGCAGGAGGCCGCGGGUUCAAGUCCCGUCAGCCCCGCCA
rnacentral:tRNA from 4 species